rnacentral:lncRNA from 1 species
UUUGAUAGAAGCACUGUUGGUAUUCUCCAUGUAGACCAGCUCUCUAGUGUCACAUUUUUCAAGUUAUGUGAAAAGCUCUUUGGAGGAGCAGAAAUGCUUGAAGCUCCAGAAUCAACUAUCUAACCAGCGUUGUUCUCAGCAGCAUUUGCUUCCACCAUCACAACUAUCUAACCGGACUGUAUUAUUAGCAGUCCCUUUAUCUGUAGCAGCUUUGAUAGCAUCAAAUAUGGAGAUGGAGGUUGCAGAUCCAACAUGGGUGAUUGGG